ACGAGUGUCUUAUCAAGAAGGUGGAUUGAUGUUUGGACAUGGAUAACCAGUCUACAGUUUGAUGAUAAUUUGAUUUAUUCUGAGAAGAAGAUGGAAAAAGAUCAGUUUGAAAAUUUUGUAGAAAAAGUGUUUCUUCACUUUACUAAUUCAAGCAUAAAAAGUUUCUCUCUUUUGUUAACUUGUUAUCAAUAUGACGCAUCCCUGAUAAAUGCAUGGAUCUCUUUUAUCUUGGAACGAAGAGUUCAGAAGCUUCAUAUUCAGUAUGUGGAUAAAGUUUUCCUUUCUUCAAAUUCACUCUUUAGCUGCAAUUCUCUAGUAGAAUUGGUUCUUCAAGGGAGAUGUAAUCUUAGUUUUCCUACAUCUGUUUGUCUUCCAAAUCUUCAAAACAUUAGCAUUUAUGGGAUUAAGUUAGUGAGUGAUUCCUCUAAUUAUUCAAAAGAUAUAACUCUUAGUUUCCCAGUUCUCAAAGUGUUUGAAGCUAGAGGGUGUGAGUGGUCAACCAUGCACAACAUUAGUUUACAAGUACCUCUUCUUGAGAGGUUUUCCUUAACAAUAUGGAACCAUCAUUCAAAUGAAUCAUAUAAAGAUUCCAUCAAGGUUAAUAGUCUGCAACUAACCGAUUUCUAUUAUGAGGGUGAUCUCGAACAAGACAUCAUUCUAAAUGAUUUGUCAUCGAUUCAUAAUGCUUCUGUUGUGCUUGUUAUUGAUGAAGACAAAAAGGACAGAAUAAAAAAAGUUGGGUUUCAAACACAUAUGCUUCUUAGGCAAAUCUGUGAAGUGGAACGACUGAAAUUAUUGUUUUACAAGGUAUGAUUGGCUUUCAUGCUACAUGAAUGAUAAUAGUAUUGCAUAACAAAAACUUGUUUUGUGAUAAUGUAGCUAUGUGUGUUUUCAAAAUGCUUUUCCUACUCUUGGAUGCAGGUGUAAACCUGUAAAAUAUAUACUAAUUUAAUUGAAUGGAUAUUAGAUCAAGUUUGAAAAUCAUGUAUUCAUGACUAAUGUACUCAGUUAAAGGUUUUAAAAUAAGGUACACAAUUGCGAUCGGUGCUGCUACAUCAAGAUUUUUUAUGUAUCUUUGCUUUAAGGUGAUUGCGACUGAGGCUACAUUAGUGGAACUUGAUUGUAAUUAUUUGCAAUAUCAAGAAUCGCAACGCAACUGCAAUUUAAAACCUUGAUCACUUCUGUUUUGUCUAUUUCUCUAGGACAACUCAACUCAUUGACUUUUGUUAAGCUCAUUCCUUUGCUACAAAGGUUUAUAUAAUCUAGACAUAUAAACUUUAAUAUUGGAUGUUUUACUAAUUAGGUUCAUAUAAUCUAAAAAAGUAACACUUAUUUUCGCCUUCGAUCCUAUUUUCCAUCUAGAAUGCAAAUUGAAAAAGAAACUCAAAAUUUAAAUAAGUUUGUCCUUGUCCUACAGGUUUUAAGGCAUGCUAAUGAUAUUUUCACCAAUCUGCCUACCUUUAAAAGGUUGACUUAUCUGCAUUUAAAUGAGGUCACUGGUGAAGCUUUGUUGCAGUUACUCCACAAUUCACCAAUUCUUCAUACUCUUGGUUUACUUAAUGUAAGUUUAGGUACUCUUGCUUUUAUUAUAUGUAUAUAUUAUAAAAUAAUUUAAAUGCUAGAUAACUCAUGAUUCACCAAAAUUUCAGGGAGUAUCAGAUUUAAAUAAAGAUGUCUUAACUUCUGCAAUGGUGCCUAAAUGCUUUUUGUCAAGCUUCAAAGUGUUUCAGUUUAAAGGUUUUAAUGCAAACGAGCAUGAUCUUUCUCUAGUAAAAUUUGUGAUGGAAAAUGCAGCAAUCAUGGAGAAGAUGACCAUAUAUCUUGCUUUUUGGUUGCGAUAUACAGAUAUAAACAAGGAAAGAGUUAAAGAGGAGAUAUUGUCCUUACCAAAGUGUUCUAGCUUUUGCAUUACAGAAAUUUCUGAUAUUAGUAGUUCCUGAAGAUUUCCCAAUAGAAUUAUCUGUUUAAGGUAUCUAGUUUUAGUGUAUUGCUUUACUACAUUAUAACAAAGCAAAAUAUAAGAGGUUUCUAUUAGAAUAUAAUUUAUAAUGUUACCGUAUCUUGUUUAAUAUUGAAAUGAUAAGUUUACUAAUAAUUGAAUUGUAUUUUGUUGAAAAUGGUACGUAGUUCUAGGGGUAGCAACUCUCUAAUCUUGAAUCAUAAUAGAAAUGUAUUCUAGUUGAUCUGCACUUGGGGACGAAAGUACAAUUGGUCUAACUUCAUGAUCAAACAUAUACACUUAUGUCAUGUCAGACGCUACACAUCAUGCAAUUCAAAUUCUAAUUGAGACAAUAUAUAACUUUGUAUCAGUAUUCUUACUUCUAAGCAUUUUAAAUUCUUCAAUGAACCUAGCUAUUGAUAGGGUAUAUUUGAUUGGAGAGAUACAUUUGACGUAAGUUGUUUUCACCAAAACGAGAGAAGUAUUGUUAUGAGUAGUAUCGAAUGCCGAUAUUCUUAAGAUAUGUAUCUUACGAGUAUCAUAAUAAUUUUUCUAAAAUAUUUUAUGAUAUGUUACAAAUACAAUAUAAUACUGCGAGAUUUGACUUUAAUGAGAGAGGAUAUUAAAAUAUGCAUGGGAUACAUACACAAUUUUUUAAAAGUUAAAAUAAUUACAUUUUACAAUUAUAGAUUAAAAUAAAAGUUCAAACACAUCUUUUAAUACAAUUUUAAUAUUAGAUUUUACAUUGCGAGUAUUUUUACAAACAAACUCUAAGAAAACUCUAAAUUUGUGUUUUGACCACAAGCAUUACUUUUUGUAAAUUGGGAUCAUUUUAAUUAUAUAUCAACGAUGUGAUCAAUUUUUUUUUUUUAAAUAUUCAACAUGUAUAUAACUUUAUUUUAUAAAAAAAUUUGUUUAAAUUAUCUAAGUCGCAUCCUAUUCUAAAUUUCAAAAAAAAAUCGUAUCAACAUAUUUUACUGUAUUUCACUUGUAAUUGUAUCCUAGAAUCAUAUAUCGCCAAAUUAGCAUAUUGCUAUUUGUGAUGCUAGCUAACUGUUUAUCAGACUAAUUUGGAUAUUCCUAAAUUCUUUUUUGUAAUGCAAGAAAUUAGGCUCUCUGACUUUGGAGAAAUAAAAAUUAGGAAUCCAGAAAGUAUUUUAUUUAGCACCAGUCACAUUUAAUAAAAGGAAUUUGGUUAAGCUGUCAAAACUAGCAUAACUUACAAUAAUGUAUCUUCACAUAUUCUACACACUCUUGGAAAAAAAACUACAUAGUUGAUAGGACAAUGUUUUGAAUCUUCUCUGCAAAUUGAAAUUAUAUAUCAUUUUUCCAUAUUACUCUAAGCAUAGUUGUGACAUCAAUUUUCAUUUGUCACACUAUUGACUUUAGAGGCUCUCUCCUUUCAUGUCUUUUGAAAACAGACUCUUUAGAGAAAUAGUAAUGUUUGCAUAUUGCUCAUACCAAACUAUAUUCAUUUGUUUCUACAGGAAACAAUUAUAGGAAGCAGAUUAACCAAAUUUCAUCAACCUGAAAAUUUAUCAUAUAAUCAUAAAACAUUAUACAUCAAUUAUCGAGAGUUAUUUUCCAUUUAGAUUCUUACCUUUGCCUUUGUAUCUUUCGAGAACUGAGAAACAUAUAUUCAUGAUAUAUAUCUCAUGUAGAUAUAUUAUAAUUUGUAUCUAUAAUUACAUCCAGUUGAGCCCUUUUUGCUAUUAACCAUAGUUAGUCAUUGGAUAAACUUUGCUUAAAUAAAUUCAUUGUGAUCACCAGUUUUUUUUUUUUGUUGCUAUUUUCACAUAUUCAACUAUUAC
rnacentral:lncRNA from 1 species